rnacentral:rRNA from 1 species
GACGGAGGGUGCAAGCGUUGUUCGGAUUGACUGGGCGUAAAGGGCGUGUAGGCGGUUGGUCAAGUCGGGUGUGAAAGCCUGAGGCUCAGCCUCAGAAGUGCAUCCGAAACUAGCCAGCUAGAGCGCGAUAGAGGAGGGUGGAAUUCCUGGUGUAGCGGUGAAAUGCGUAGAUAUCAGGAGGAACACCGGCGGCGAAGGCGGCCCUCUGGCUCGUUGCUGACGCUGAGACGCGAAAGCGUGGGGAGCAAACAGG